rnacentral:rRNA from 1 species
UGGGGAAUAUUGGACAAUGGGCGCAAGCCUGAUCCAGCCAUGCCGCGUGAGUGAUGAAGGCCCUAGGGUUGUAAAGCUCUUUCACCGGUGAAGAUAAUGACGGUAACCGGAGAAGAAGCCCCGGCUAACUUCGUGCCAGCAGCCGCGGUAAUACGAAGGGGGCUAGCGUUGUUCGGAAUUACUGGGCGUAAAGCGCACGUAGGCGGACAUUUAAGUCAGGGGUGAAAUCCCGGGGGCUCAACCCCGGAACUGCCUUUGAUACUGGGUGUCUAGAGUUCGAGAGAGGUGAGUGGAAUUCCGAGUGUAGAGGUGAAAUUCGUAGAUAUUCGGAGGAACACCAGUGGCGAAGGCGGCUCACUGGCUCGAUACUGACGCUGAGGUGCGAAAGCGUGGGGAGCAAAACAGGAUUAGAUACCCUGGUAGUCCACGCCGUAAACGAUGGAAGCCAGCUGUCGGCAAGUUUUACUUGUCGGUGGCGCAGCUAACGCAUUAAGCUUCCCGCCUGGGGAGUACGGUCGCAAGAUUAAAACUCAAAUGAAUUGACGGGGUCAUAGCUGUUUCCUG